AUUGAACGCUGGCGGCAGGCCUAACACAUGCAAGUCGAACGAGUGGCGGACGGGUGAGUAAUGUCUGGGAAACUGCCUGAGGGAGGGGGAUAACUACUGGAAACGGUAGCUAAUACCGCAUACCAUCAGAUGUGCCCAGAUGGGAUGAGCUUGUUGGGGGGGUAACGGCUCACCAAGGCGACGAGCCCUAGCUGGUCUGAGAGGCUGACCAGCCAAACUGGAACGGAGACACGGCCCAGACUCCUACGGGAGGCAGCAGUGGGGAAUAUUGGACAAUGGGCGCAAUCCUGAUGCAGCCAUGCCGCGUGUAUGAAGAAGGCCUUCGUGUUGUAAAGUACUUUCGGCGGAGAGGUGUUACCCGCGGAGGAAGCACCGGCUAACUCCGUGCCAGCCGCCGCGGUAAUAC
rnacentral:rRNA from 1 species